rnacentral:lncRNA from 1 species
UUAUCUGAUCCUCAAAGCUCUGAUGGUUUAUAUAGAAAGCUGUUGAACAGCUGGUUGCAUAGCUGUGAGAUCGUACGAUCUCGAGAUUAUAGGGCUAUUGGACAUGCCAUUAUGGAUGAGAUAAUUCAACCUUCAAUCACUCCCACGAGAUUGAGGGAGUCAGUUACGCCUAAGCUGAUCCACUCGAGGUGAACAGCUAUUACACACAUUGAAGAAAUAAGUCGAC